rnacentral:rRNA from 1 species
GACGAACGCUGGCGGCGUGCUUAACACAUGCAAGUCGAACGAAGUGGCGAACGGGUGAGUAACGCGUAAUCAACCUGCCCUUCAGAGGGGGAUAACAGUUGGAAACGACUGCUAAUACCGCAUACUGAAGGAGGGGAUUGCGUCGGAUUGGCUAGUUGGAGGGGUAACGGCCCACCAAGGCGAGGAUCAGUAGCCGGGCUGAGAGGAAGGACGGCAACAGUGGGACUGGGAAACGGCCCAGACUCAUACGGGAGGCAGCAGUGGGGAAUCUUCCGCAAUGGACGAAAGUCUGACGGAGCAACGCCGCGUGAGGGAUGACGGCCUUCGGGGUGUAAAGCUCUGUUAAUCGGGACGCGGUACCGGAAUAGAAAGCCACGGCUAACUACGUGCCAGCAGCCGCGGUAAUUC